rnacentral:lncRNA from 1 species
GGCCGCGCCUCCCUUUGCAGCCCCCAAGACUUGGCUAGGGCGGCCUGAGGCCCGCGUGGCGCGGGGAGGGGCUGAGAACCGAGUGGGAAAAUGUCACGAUUUCUUCUGUGCCCCUCCCGUCCCUACCCCCACCCCCAGUUUUCUGAGUUUUGCUGCUGCCGCUGGGGAAGGACUGAUUCGUUUUGCGUCAAAGGACUGCAUUUACUCAGUCCUGCUGGGAGAGGCGCGUAAACACCCAGGCAAGCCAGGACGCAGGGAUGGGGAGGGGGAAGAAAAAAGCAAAGCACCCACGGCCGGCGCGCGCGUCCGCCUGCCCCACACCCCUCUCCUGGGCCUGCGGAGUUGGGGACUCUGUCCAGCGGGCAGCAGCGGAGGUGCGAGGAGUCUGGCUGGCCUCGCCUCGUCGCGCACGCGCGCGCGUCCUUGGGGAUAGCGUUCAGGACAGAAUGUGUUUUAUAGCUGUAAACAAUGACCCCGAGUAUUGUUUGGGAUUACCGUAUCUUGGGGCCCUUGGGGCGGCCAGAUGCCGCCAGCCGUCCCGGAAAUGCCAGCGCUUUAUAUAGAGCCCCAGGAAAGCUUCGCGUUCCCGGCUCUAUUUUUCUCUGCUACCAACACCCCCACUUUGCAGAUAAGGAAACUGAGGACAGAAGUUGUGUGACGGUGCACAGCGAGUUGUCAGCAAUGGACUCUCAACACCUCUUAACAUUGGGUCCUCAUAAGGACCCUGUGGGGUACAGAUGGCUGGCGCUACUUAAGAAUUGGGUAAACUGAGGCUAACACAGACCCUGGACCAAAACCUAAGUUCCCUGACUUCCGCUACAGUACUUCUCCAUUCACACACACCAUCAUCUCAGCGGAAGGAUUGGAGCUCCAGAGCAGAGAAGGGCCUAAGGUCAUGUCUCCAAACUCCUUCACUUUAUAGGAGGAAACUGAGGCCCAGAGAGGUUAAGGAAUUCGUCCAAGAUCUCACAGCUCGUAAAUAGCGUAGCCGGGCGUUCCUGCUCUAAGGUCUGUGCUCUGUACCCUGCGCCGCGCCCCUCCCAGCCCCGCCCAGCGAGGGAGGAGGACCCAAAUGUCCGGCAACCCGCGCCCUGAACUUCGCUCCAAAACAGCUGAAGACGACAACGUUGGGGCACACCCUCUCGCUGGCUUUUUUUUUUUUUUUUUAAUUCGUAACAGUCUGGAGUUUGCUU